UUAACCCUUAUGUAGAUUUUUCAAAACUGUGGAAUAUAACUUUGUUUUCUCCCUAUCGACUACUACUGUAGUACAAUUACAUCGGGAUCGAAGUCGGGCUCAAAAAGCAAUUAAUUUAAAAACAACACACCGCGCCGAAAUUCAAUUUUUUGGAGUGUUCCGAGCAGCCAUGUUGAACUUCAUCAUGAUGUUGUAUGGGACAAAGGGGCGAAAGAGAUUACACGAAAAGAAGAAGCAUGAUUAACUUUGGAUGGAAUUUCUGUUUUAACAGAAGAUGAAGACAAUUACGACCCUGUAUAGCGGUAGGAACAAGUUACAAUGUACGAAAUUUUAUCAUGUGUCCUUGAAUGAAUAAUUGCUUCUGCUACUGAUAAUAUUACUGUUCUAGGCACUACACAUAAAAUGCCUGGCAGUAAAAACGUUUGGGCAAGCGCUAUUUAAAUUUUGUAAUUAUUAUUUAACACUUUUAAACAUCUCUCAUAAAGAUGGAUUUUAACCAGAAUUUCCUCGUUUGGGAUUGGUUCCAGAAUUUUAGUGUUCCUCUGUUCAGCAUUUACAGAGUAUGUUGUACAAUGUAAUAAAAUAUAUAUUUAUUUCUUAAUGCAUACUCAAAAUCAUAUUCAGCACUAGCGGAUUGUGCGACUGCCUGAGACGAUUCCCCACAGCGCCGGCUAUGUGGACAGCUUGUGAAAUAGCGGAUUGUGCGACUGCCUGAGGCGAUUCCCCACAGUGCCGGCUAUGUGGACAGCUUGUGAAAAUGGAAUCUAAAUGAUCACAAGAAAUGACAAAAGCAGUAUGAAGAUUAACACAAAGAUAUUGUGCCAGAAAAGUUUGAAGUGCUAUGGGAAUGAUCAACAUUGAACUUGCUGAGCCUUCCUUCUGAAAGUGACUUAACCAGAUAUUUGGCUACCCAGUAUGAGUAUCUUUCUGCUAAAAUGAAUAAAAUGUUGUGGAGGAACUCGAAGAAAAGGGAU